GUCGAACGCUGGCGGAAUGCUUUACACAUGCAAGUCGAACGGCAGCACGGACUUCGGUCUGGUGGUGAGUGGCGAACGGGUGAGUAAUGUAUCGGAACGUGCCCAGUCGUGGGGGAUAACGUAGUGAAAAUUACGCUAAUACCGCAUACGAUCUAUGGAUGAAAGCGGGGGAUCGCAAGACCUCGCGCGAUUGGAGCGGCCGAUAUCAGAUUAGGUAGUUGGUGGGGUAAAGGCCCACCAAGCCAACGAUCUGUAGCUGGUCUGAGAGGACGACCAGCCACACUGGAACUGAGACACGGGCCAGACUCCUACGGGAGGCAGCAGUGGGGAAUUUUGGACAAUGGGCGAAAGCCUGAUCCAGCCAUUCCGCGUGCAGGAUGAAGGCCCUCGGGUUGUAAACUGCUUUUGUACAGAACGAAAAGGUUUCUACUAAUACUAGGAGCUCAUGACGGUACUGUAAGAAUAAGCACCGGCUAACUACGUGCCAGCCGCCGCGGUAA
rnacentral:rRNA from 1 species